rnacentral:tRNA from 1 species
GAUCCAUUAGCUCAGUUGGUAGAGCACCUGACUUUUAAUCAGGGUGUCCCGGGUUCGAGUCCCGGAUGGGUCACCA